CCUGGGGCCUGGCCAGGUGUGCCCGCUUCCUGGCCAUGUGGCCUUGGACCCGGAGCACCCUGGUCUCUUGCAGCUGCCACCGGGCUGGGGAGGACCUGCCUCAGCACAAGAAUCCGCUGGUGACAAGGUGGGGAGACCGAGGCUUGCAGCCAGGAUGUGACGUUUGAGCAGAGACCCGACUUCCAAGAGGGGGCAAGCCAGGGCAGGUGUGGUGGCGGUGGGCUCCACCAGGGCCCAGAGAGAGCCUGGACCUUGCCGCCAGCCCCGAGCCAAGGGGAGCCCUGAGCAGACGCCUGCUGUCGUCUGUGACAUGGCCACGCUAAGGGCUUGAUUGCCAGCGUCCUAACCGAGGCCGUCGCAGCCACCUGCAGCCACACUGGCCCAUGUCCGUGGCCCUCUCUCCCCUUGGGGCUGCACCAGGCAGUGAGAGCCCUGGCCCGUCCA